AAUAGAUACCCUGGUAGUCCACGCCGUAAACGAUGAGUGCUAAGUGUUAGGGGGUUUCCGCCCCUUAGUGCUGCAGCUAACGCAUUAAGCACUCCGCCUGGGGAGUACGGUCGCAAGACUGAAACUCAAAGGAAUUGACGGGGGCCCGCACAAGCGGUGGAGCAUGUGGUUUAAUUCGAAGCAACGCGAAGAACCUUACCAGGUCUUGACAUCCCAUUGACCGCUAUGGAGACAUAGCUUUCCCUUCGGGGACAGUGGUGACAGGUGGUGCAUGGUUGUCGUCAGCUCGUGUCGUGAGAUGUUGGGUUAAGUCCCGCAACGAGCGCAACCCUUGUUCUUAGUUGCCAUCAUUUAGUUGGGCACUCUAAGGAGACUGCCGGUGACAAACCGGAGGAAGGUGGGGAUGACGUCAAAUCAUCAUGCCCCUUAUGACCUGGGCUACACACGUGCUACAAUGGACGGUACAAACGGUUGCUAACCCGCGAGGGGAGCUAAUCCGAUAAAACCGUUCUCAGUUCGGAUUGUAGGCUGCAACUCGCCUAC
rnacentral:rRNA from 1 species